UCGAAGGUAAUUUGUACCGAUUCAAGGCUAGCUUUUCGUACUAAACUACUUUGAGUCGGUACGAAUCAUCUUCC
rnacentral:pre_miRNA from 1 species